CUUAAAACUAAGAAUUGGAAAGAUGGCUCAGCUCCACACCAUUCAGUUUUUGCUUUCACAGAUGAACACUUAAAGCCAAGCAUAAUAAAAACAGUUUCUCAUCCUCCUUUAAUUCUGAAACACUGAGCGAUCUCCUCAUCUCUGAGAUUCUCUGGGACCAAAAGGAACUGUGGCUGCAUGAGGAAGAUUGCCGGAAUCCCCCGAAUGGAGUGAAACACGAGGUUCUCAGUCUCCAUGAAGUGUGGCAAUUUACAGCUUUGUUUUCAAGAAAGAUCACAGAAAGCAAUGAGCCAGACAUUGUUUCCAAAAAAUGAUUUUACAAAUCAGAAUUGAUUGAACAACAAAUAAAUUCUUCCUGCUAAAUGUUUAGAAUGAAGAUUUGCAAGUGAUCCCCGAAAACACUGACUGCACAGUCUCCUUCUAAAAGACAGUAUUUCAUACCUCUCUCAGUAAGACUGGCCACUUGCAUGUAAAUUUCUCAUGUGGUAAUGACAGAGUACAAAACACACAUUUGAAUAUG